CGACGAGAUGGCGGGUUAGGGUUAGCUGUUGCGAGCGCGCCGCCGAGUGCGCCAUGAGCGCCUCCCUACUUCCUCGCUGCUCUCCUGUGUUGGGAAUGGAGGACGAGGGGGUGCGAGUGGACCCGAGGCUGGUCUGGUUCGUUGGCGAGGAAGAUCAACUAGGGAGAAAAGAACUUGAAUUGGGUCAGAGGUAGAGCAUGAAGGUGAUGUUACAGAAGUUGGAUGAACACAAUAAGGUUAUGUGUUUUCUUCUGUCAGACCAAGGAAUUGGAUAGCUCUUGCACAUUCUGCCUUCGUUAACUGCGGGUGCUUCAGUCUCCACAUCUGAUGGAUAUGAUUAUUUUUACAUAGAAGUUAACUAUGAUCUUGGAAGAGGUAAAGAUUGGAUAGUACUUGAGAUUUAAAUGAGCGUUUGGCACAUGAAGGAUAUUUUUUAGGAGAUUUAAAUGAGUGUUUGGCGCUGGCCACCGUUCCUGCCUACAUUGCAGCGACCAUCGUUAUCACCACCGUCAUUGCAGCCGCCAAUCCCGCCGCCAUUGCGGCCACAAUCAUUGCGGCCGUAGCCGCCAUUGCCGCAACCAGGGCUAGAACAAAGCUAGAGAAAAACUAUGGUCAAAAAGCUUUUCUUCCUUUGGUUUCUGAAGGUUUGGCUUGGCUGCCAGUAGGUUAACUAGGUUAUGAUGUCUAUAUCUUGGCUGCCAGUAUUUAAAAGAGAUGUCUCUGACACAUGGAU